rnacentral:rRNA from 1 species
AUGAACGCUAGCUACAGGCUUAACACAUGCAAGUCGAGGGGCAGCAUUUUAGUUUGCUUGCAAACUAAAGAUGGCGACCGGCGCACGGGUGAGUAACACGUAUCCAACCUGCCGAUAACUCGGGGAUAGCCUUUCGAAAGAAAGAUUAAUAUCCGAUAGUAUAUUAAAACCGCAUGGUUUUACUAUUAAAGAAUUUCGGUUAUCGAUGGGGAUGCGUUCCAUUAGUUUGUUGGCGGGGUAACGGCCCACCAAGACUACGAUGGAUAGGGGUUCUGAGAGGAAGGUCCCCCACAUUGGAACUGAGACACGGUCCAAACUCCUACGGGAGGCAGCAGUGAGGAAUAUUGGUCAAUGGACGAGAGUCUGAACCAGCCAAGUAGCGUGAAGGAUGACUGCCCUAUGGGUUGUAAACUUCUUUUAUAUGGGAAUAAAGUAUUCCACGUGUGGGAUUUUGUAUGUACCAUAUGAAUAAGGAUCGGCUAACUCCGUGCCAGCAGCCGCGGUAAUACGGAGGAUCCGAGCGUUAUCCGGAUUUAUUGGGUUUAAAGGGAGCGUAGGUGGAUUGUUAAGUCAGUUGUGAAAGUUUGCGGCUCAACCGUAAAAUUGCAGUUGAAACUGGCAGUCUUGAGUACAGUAGAGGUGGGCGGAAUUCGUGGUGUAGCGGUGAAAUGCUUAGAUAUCACGAAGAACUCCGAUUGCGAAGGCAGCUCACUAGACUGCAACUGACACUGAUGCUCGAAAGUGUGGGUAUCAAACAGGAUUAGAUACCCUGGUAGUCCACACAGUAAACGAUGAAUACUCGCUGUUGGCGAUAUACUGUCAGCGGCCAAGCGAAAGCAUUAAGUAUUCCACCUGGGGAGUACGCCGGCAACGGUGAAACUCAAAGGAAUUGACGGGGGCCCGCACAAGCGGAGGAACAUGUGGUUUAAUUCGAUGAUACGCGAGGAACCUUACCCGGGCUUAAAUUGCAUUUGAAUAAUCUGGAAACAGGUUAGCCGCAAGGCAAAUGUGAAGGUGCUGCAUGGUUGUCGUCAGCUCGUGCCGUGAGGUGUCGGCUUAAGUGCCAUAACGAGCGCAACCCUUAUCUUUAGUUACUAACAGGUCAUGCUGAGGACUCUAGAGAGACUGCCGUCGUAAGAUGUGAGGAAGGUGGGGAUGACGUCAAAUCAGCACGGCCCUUACGUCCGGGGCUACACACGUGUUACAAUGGGGGGUACAGAAGGCAGCUACCUGGCGACAGGAUGCUAAUCCCAAAAACCUCUCUCAGUUCGGAUCGAAGUCUGCAACCCGACUUCGUGAAGCUGGAUUCGCUAGUAAUCGCGCAUCAGCCAUGGCGCGGUGAAUACGUUCCCGGGCCUUGUACACACCGCCCGUCAAGCCAUGAAAGCCGGGGGUACCUGAAGUACGUAACCGCAAGGAGCGUCCUAGGGUAAAACUGGUAAUUGGGGCU